GAUGAACGCUGGCGGCGUGCCUAAUGCAUGCAAGUCGAGCGAACAGACGAGGAGCUUGCUCCUCUGACGUUAGCGGCGGACGGGUGAGUAACACGUGGAUAACCUACCUAUAAGACUGGGAUAACUUCGGGAAACCGGAGCUAAUACCGGAUAAUAUAUUGAGCCGCAUGGUUCAAUAGUGAAAGACGGUUUUGCUGUCACUUAUAGAUGGAUCCGCGCCGCAUUAGCUAGUUGGUAAGGUAACGGCUUACCAAGGCAACGAUGCGUAGCCGACCUGAGAGGGUGAUCGGCCACACUGGAACUGAGACACGGUCCAGACUCCUACGGGAGGCAGCAGUAGGGAAUCUUCCGCAAUGGGCGAAAGCCUGACGGAGCAACGCCGCGUGAGUGAUGAAGGUCUUCGGAUCGUAAAACUCUGUUAUUAGGGAAGAACAAAUGUGUAAGUAACUAUGCACGUCUUGACGGUACCUAAUCAGAAAGCCACGGCUAACUACGUG
rnacentral:rRNA from 1 species